rnacentral:rRNA from 1 species
GCUGGCGGCGUGCUUAACACAUGCAAGUCGAACGCGCAACAUUCUGUAGCAAUACAGGGUGUGGGCGCGUGGCGAACGGGUGCGUAACACGUGGAUAACCUUCCUUCAGGUGGGGAAUAACCCCGCGAAAGCGGGGCUAAUACCGCAUAACAAAACGAUGAGACAUCUUGUUGUUUUCAAAGCCGCAAGGCGCCAGAAGAGGGAUCCGCGGCCGAUUAGCUUGUUGGCGGGGUAAUGGCCCACCAAGGCAUUGAUCGGUAGCCGGACUGAGAGGUUGGCCGGCCACACUGGAACUGAGACACGGUCCAGACUCCUACGGGAGGCAGCAGUGGGGAAUCUUGCACAAUGGGCGAAAGCCUGAUGCAGCAACGCCGCGUGGGGGAUGAAGCUUUUCGGAGUGUAAACCCCUUUCGACCCGGAAGAAAGCCCGCAAGGGUUUGACGGUACGGGUAUAAGAAGCCCCGGCUAACUACGUGCCA